UCCCUGUUGGCUCAGAUGGUAAAGCGUCUGCCUACAAUGCGGGAGACCCGGGUUCAAUCCCUGGGUGGGGAA
rnacentral:tRNA from 1 species